ACGAUUGUUUACUAGGGUUCCGCCGGUCACGUACCGGGCUGGUCCGAGAGUAAACCACUCUUGUGAAAGAGUGCCACGGAAGGAUAAAAACCUGGGAGAU
rnacentral:sRNA from 2 species